GACGAACGCUGGCGGCGUGCUUAACACAUGCAAGUCGAGCGGAAAGGCUCCUUCGGGGGUACUCGAGCGGCGAACGGGUGAGUAACACGUGAGUAAUCUGCCCUGUGCUCUGGGAUAGCCACCGGAAACGGUGAUUAAUACCGGAUAUGACCAGCUACUGCAUGGUGGUUGGUGGAAAGUUUUUCGGCACAGGAUGUGCUCGCGGCCUAUCAGCUUGUUGGUGGGGUAAUGGCUCACCAAGGCUUUGACGGGUAGCCGGCCUGAGAGGGUGACCGGUCACACUGUGACUGAGACACGGCCCAGACUCCUACGGGAGGCAGCAGUGGGGAAUAUUGGACAAUGGGCGGAAGCCUGAUCCAGCAACGCCGCGUGAGGGAUGACGGCCUUCGGGUUGUAAACCUCUUUCAGUACCGACGAAGCGAAAGUGACGGUAGGUACAGAAGAAGGACCGGCCAACUACGUGCCAGCCGCCGCCGUAAUAC
rnacentral:rRNA from 1 species